rnacentral:rRNA from 1 species
AGGGUUCGAUUCUGGCUCAGAACGAACGCUGGUGGCGUGUCUUAUACAUGCAAGUCGAGCGGCAUAGCAAUAUGUAGCGGCGAACGGUGAGUAACGCGUAAGCAAUCUGCCCCAUAUCAGGAAAUACCCGUGCCAACGCGCGGUUAAUGUCCAGGAGAGCGGGAACCCGCAUGGGUUCUUGGCUAGAGAUUCAUCGGUAUGGGAUGAGCUUGCGUCCGAUUAGCUAGUUGGCGGGGCAACGGCCCACCAAGGCGACGAUCGGUAGCCGGCCUGAGAGGGUGAUCGGCCACAUUGGGACUGAGAUACGGCCCAGACUCCUACGGGAGGCAGCAGUAGGGAAUAUUGCACAAUGGGGGGAACCCUGAUGCAGCAACGCCACGUAAUGGGAAGAAGCAUUUCGGUGUGUAAACCACUGUCGUGAGGGAAUAAGGCCUAUUCUAGGAUAGGAUUGAAUGUACCUCGAAAGGAAGCACCGGCAAACUUCGUGCCAGCCGCCGC